rnacentral:rRNA from 1 species
GAGUUUGAUCCUGGCUCAGAUUGAACGCUGGCGGCAGGCCUAACACAUGCAAGUCGAACGGUAACAUUUCUAGCUUGCUAGAAGAUGACGAGUGGCGGACGGGUGAGUAAUGCUUGGGAACUUGCCUUUGCGAGGGGGAUAACAGUUGGAAACGACUGCUAAUACCGCAUAAUGUCUACGGACCAAACGGGGCUUAGGCUCCGGCGCAAAGAGAGGCCCAAGUGAGAUUAGCUAGUUGGUAAGGUAAUGGCUUACCAAGGCAACGAUCUCUAGCUGUUCUGAGAGGAAGAUCAGCCACACUGGAACUGAGACACGGUCCAGACUCCUACGGGAGGCAGCAGUGGGGAAUAUUGCACAAUGGGGGAAACCCUGGUGCAGCCAUGCCGCGUGUGUGAAGAAGGCCUUCGGGUUGUAAAGCACUUUCAGUUGUGAGGAAAAGUUAGUAGUUAAUACCUGCUAGCCGUGACGUUAACAACAGAAGAAGCACCGGCUAACUCCGUGCCAGCAGCCGCGGUAAUACGGAGGGUGCGAGCGUUAAUCGGAAUUACUGGGCGUAAAGCGCACGCAGGCGGUUUGUUAAGCUAGAUGUGAAAGCCCCGGGCUCAACCUGGGAUAGUCAUUUAGAACUGGCAGACUAGAGUCUUGGAGAGGGGAGUGGAAUUCCAGGUGUAGCGGUGAAAUGCGUAGAUAUCUGGAGGAACAUCAGUGGCGAAGGCGACUCCCUGGCCAAAGACUGACGCUCAUGUGCGAAAGUGUGGGUAGCGAACAGGAUUAGAUACCCUGGUAGUCCACACCGUAAACGCUGUCUACUAGCUGUUUGUGACUUCAAGUCGUGAGUAGCGAAGCUAACGCGCUAAGUAGACCGCCUGGGGAGUACGGCCGCAAGGUUAAAACUCAAAUGAAUUGACGGGGGCCCGCACAAGCGGUGGAGCAUGUGGUUUAAUUCGAUGCAACGCGAAGAACCUUACCUACACUUGACAUGCUGAGAACUUUCCAGAGAUGGAUUGGUGCCUUCGGGAACUCAGACACAGGUGCUGCAUGGCUGUCGUCAGCUCGUGUCGUGAGAUGUUGGGUUAAGUCCCGCAACGAGCGCA